rnacentral:lncRNA from 1 species
UUACUUCAAAGUCCUCGCAUUACAUAAAUGACUAUACUUGGACUUGGGGAGACUAUUGUUACGUGUUUGCACACUCGGGCAACCUACGGGUUCCACAGCCAACUAAUGCCGAACCAUGUGGCACUAAAGUCGAGGUGAUUUGCAUUUUUGAGGCCGGUCCAUAGAAGUCUAAGCCCAUACAUACCGAGGCCCAUCUAUCAUUGCCUCUUGAGG